UGAUACAAGCUAGGUUAUCCCGAUACUCCCUCGAGGUGCUGCAUCAGUAUGAUAUUGGCAAGCUUGAAAGCACGGAUACGGCAGAAACUGCCGAUCUGCCGUCUGAUACGGCGGGAUACGCGAAUUUUGGUGUAUCCCUGAAAUUCGAAUUAAAAAAAUUGAAAAAAAUAAAGGGAUACGGCUGGACACGUUUGGGAUACGGCCUGGCCCAUCAACACAGCCUCGGCCCAACACCAAACCAAUUAUUAGGGCACGAGCCACUCUGCCUCCCCUGCGAGGCUGCGACGCUGCCUCCUGGAUCGAAGCCGUCACUGCCUGGACUCGCCGUCGCCGCCGACUGGACUCGACGUCGCCGCCGCCUGGACUCGACGCCGCCGCCGCCGCCGCCGGGAUUCGACCGGCGACCGCCUCCUCCAGCACCGCAGGUAGCAUGGCAUCUGGAAGAGGUGGAGCCGGUAGCUAAUCAUCCGUGGGUGACAGUAAAGGGCAUCCUAGGGCUGUAGAUCCUAGAUAUCAUCUAUGGAUGUGGAGAAGCUUUGUGGUGCUACUGCAGUGCUGCUUCCGCUGGUAGCCGUGGAGGAAAUGCAAAGUUUCAUUGCAAUUUCUGUUGCCAUCUCAGCCUUGUUAGCUCCUAUUUAUCAUGUUCUUGCUGGGUAUUUGACAAUUGGGACGAGAAUCAGUCAAGCACUUGAUAAAAGAGACACCAAAUGGGGCAGUAUUCUCUUUUCU